CUGUCCUCAGCAGAAUUAAUCAGGUGUUAUCUUAUGCAAAUUGUAUCGCCAUCAGAUGAAGCCGAUGAUCCUGUCGAUGACAAUGACCCUGCUUCGCCGGAGGAACACACUUUUUUCCGUCUCCAAACGACUGGGGAGGCGCAGGGGCGAGACAAUAACACCCAGAAGUUAUUGAAAUGAAUCGUCAUGAAAGGAGCUGGCACAAGAAUAAGAAACAGAACGAGCGCUAGCAGCAGUCUUCAGUGCAGAGCGAAGGAAAGGAAGCCGAAUGCAACGAGGAAAAGACGAGCGUGAUGAAAGAGGUCCAGACAUGAAGGAGGCACGCACACACACAUGCAAUGGCACCUAGAGUCUGUCUGCGGUCUGCCAUCACCCUGCCACACACACACACACACACACACACACACACCCCGCCUGUUACGGUAAGAAUCAGAGACCACCGAGUUAGGGGGAGAAUAACAGUGAGAAAACAAGCUCAUUAUCUUGUGCUGUUUUCUUCUGAGUAAUGUAAAGACAAAUUGACUACUUGUA